AAGGAUCAUUAUCGAAUUUCGAGGAGGAAGAUGGAAUGGUGGAGAUUGUCGCUGGCUCUCUGCAUGUGCACGUCUUCGCUUUCCAUCGACCUUUCUCAACACACACACACCUGUGCACCUAUUGUAGGUCCUCGAAAGAGGAUCUAUGUUUUUUCACAUCACACCUAUCGUAUGUCUAUAGAAUGUAUUGAAAACCUGUCGGACCAGGCUUGGCCCUGGUUUGGCAGGUCGAUAAAUAAAUCAUACAACUUUCAGCAACGGAUCUCUUGGCUCUCGCAUCGAUGAAGAACGCAGCGAAUUGCGAUAAGUAAUGUGAAUUGCAGAUUUCCAGUGAAUCAUCGAAUCUUUGAACGCACCUUGCGCUCCUUGGUAUUCCGAGGAGCAUGCCUGUUUGAGUGUCAUCGAAUUCUCAACCAUGUCUUGAUCGUUUUCGAGCGCAUGGCUUGGAGUUGGGGGUUGCUGGCGGCGAAAACUUGACUUUUGGCCGGUCGGCUCUCCUUAAAUACAUUAGCAAAGGGUGGCUAGUCUUUGACGUGCACGGCCUUCGACGUGAUAAUGAUCGUCGUGGCUGGAGCGACUUGGACGCAUGCAUGAAUCGCCCGUGCUUCUAAUUCAGAUAGAUUCUGAGCCUUGGAGCUGAGCUUUUUAGCUACUAGUCGGUCGUAACUUUUUACGGCUGGCGAACGCAGCAAGCAACGUUUCUGGGCUUGUCUUCUUUCUUUCUUCGAAACUUGACCUCAAAUCAGGUAGGACUACCCGCUGAACUUAA
rnacentral:rRNA from 1 species